CCUACGGGAGGCAGCAGUGGGGAAUCUUGCGCAAUGGGCGAAAGCCUGACGCAGCCAUGCCGCGUGGAUGAUGAAGGUCUUAGGAUUGUAAAAUCCUUUCACCGGUGAAGAUAAUGACUGUAGCCGGAGAAGAAGCCCCGGCUAACUUCGUGCCAGCAGCCGCGGUAAUACGAAGGGGGCUAGCGUUGCUCGGAAUUACUGGGCGUAAAGGGAGCGUAGGCGGACAUUUAAGUCAGAGGUGAAAUCCCGGAGCUUAACUUCGGAACUGCCUUUGAUACUGGGUGUCUUGAGUGUGAGAGAGGUAUGUGGAACUCCGAGUGUAGAGGUGAAAUUCGUAGAUAUUCGGAAGAACACCAGUGGCGAAGGCGACAUACUGGCUCAUUACUGACGCUGAGGCUCGAAAGCGUGGGGAGCAAACAGGAUUAGAUACCCUGGUAGUCCACGCCGUAAACGAUGAUUGCUAGUUGUCGGGAAGCUUGCUUCUCGGUGACGCAGCUAACGCAUUAAGCAAUCCGCCUGGGGAGUACGGUCGCAAGNUUAAAACUCAAAGGAAUUGACGG
rnacentral:rRNA from 1 species